rnacentral:rRNA from 1 species
GACGAACGCUGGCGGCGUGCCUAAUACAUGCAAGUUGAGCGCUGAAGGUUGGUACUUGUACCAACUGGAUGAGCAGCGAACGGGUGAGUAACGCGUGGGGAAUCUGCCUUUGAGCGGGGGACAACAUUUGGAAACGAAUGCUAAUACCGCAUAAAAACUUUAAACACAAGUUUUAAGUUUGAAAGAUGCAAUUGCAUCACUCAAAGAUGAUCCCGCGUUGUAUUAGCUAGUUGGUGAGGUAAAGGCUCACCAAGGCGAUGAUACAUAGCCGACCUGCGAGGGUGAUCGGCCACAUUGGGACUGAGACACGGCCCAAACUCCUACGGGAGGCAGCAGUAGGGAAUCUUCGGCAAUGGACGAAAGUCUGACCGAGCAACGCCGCGUGAGUGAAGAAGGUUUUCGGAUCGUAAAAAUCUGUUGGUAGAGAAGAACGUUGGUGAGAGUGGAAAGCUCAUCAAGUGACGGUAACUACCCAGAAAGGGACGGCUAACUACGUG